rnacentral:rRNA from 1 species
AGAGUAAAAUAGUACGUGAAAUUGUUGAAAGGGAAACGAUUGAAGUCAGUCGUACCGACGAGAAAUCAGCUCUUCGAGUGCGAAGUUGUGGGCGUGUGAGAGUCUUUAACCGGGCCUCGCUGUUUGCAAUUUUGUGCUUUUUGGGUGUACUUUUUCGUAUGGUAGGUCAACGUCAGUUUUGAUUACCGUAAAAUGAUCGGAGGAAUGUAGCUUCGAUCUCGUAUUGAAGUGUUAUAGCCUCUGGUAGAUGCGGUGACCGAAACUGAGGAUUGCAACGAAUACCCUUUUGGGCUAUCCGUCUGGCCUCUGAAAGUUGCUUAGGUGCCGAAAGCGUGCUUACGGCUAUUUAAGUUGACGGUCAAAAGGUUAGAACGGAUUAAAUUCGUUAAGGAUGUUGACGUAAUGACUUUAAACGACC